rnacentral:rRNA from 1 species
UGAGGAAUAUUGGUCAAUGGACGGAAGUCUGAACCAGCCAAGUAGCGUGCAGGAUGACGGCCCUAUGGGUUGUAAACUGCUUUUGUAUGGGGAUAAAGUUAGGGACGUGUCCCUAUUUGCAGGUACCAUACGAAUAAGGACCGGCUAAUUCCGUGCCAGCAGCCGCGGUAAUACGGAAGGUCCAGGCGUUAUCCGGAUUUAUUGGGUUUAAAGGGAGCGUAGGCUGGAUAUUAAGUGUGUUGUGAAAUGUAGACGCUCAACGUCUGACUUGCAGCGCAUACUGGUUUCCUUGAGUACGCACAACGUUGGCGGAAUUCGUCGUGUAGCGGUGAAAUGCUUAGAUAUGACGAAGAACUCCGAUUGCGAAGGCAGCUGACGGGAGCGCAACUGACGCUUAAGCUCGAAGGUGCGGGUAUCAAACAGGAUUAGAUACCCUGGUAGUCCGCACAGUAAACGAUGGAUGCCCGCUGUUGGUACCUGGUAUCAGCGGCUAAGCGAAAGCAUUAAGCAUCCCACCUGGGGAGUACGCCGGCAACGGUG